UACAGAGGUCUCAAGCGUUGUUCGGAUUCAUUGGGCGUAAAGGGUGCGUAGGUGGCGCGCUAAGUCAGGUGUGAAAUUUCGGAGCUUUAACUCCGAACUGCAUUCGAUACUGCCGUGCUUGAGGACUGGAGAGGAGACGUGGAAAAUUUUGACGGUGUAGCGGUGAAAUGCGUAGAUAUCGUAAAGGGAAAGACCAGUGG
rnacentral:rRNA from 1 species